rnacentral:lncRNA from 1 species
AUGUAAAUGAGUUAAAUACCUAAUAAAAAAUGGAAAAAAAAAAAAAAAGAAGUGAUAUGAUGAUGGUAUUGCCAAAAUCAGGCAUGCAUUGAUUUGUGCAAAGAUUUGCAGUAAAUGGGCUUGAGUAGAGGGCCCAGGCUCCAACCCUCAUUUAACACUUCAAGUAUGUGUAAAUCGUAGUUUAUAUUCACACAGAUACAGUAUUCUGAGCACCUUUAUUUCUGCAUUCUCAUUCUUACUGAGACCUCUGCGAGAAGGUGGUGCUUCUGGAGACUCAGGGAUGGGAUCAGUAAAUCAGAGCAGAUAGGGUUAAAAGGAUAGGAAGAGGCCUCGGACCCAGGGCCCCACCAAAAUGUCUGCCUCUGUUCACUGUACAUGUUUCCUGUAGUUGCUCCAGUAAAGUCCUGUAAGUGGGUGAAAGGGUCAGGCCCCCUCUGGAAGCUCCAGGGACACAUCUCUGCUUGCCUUGGCUCCUGCUGCGGUUGGCUUUCCUUGACUUGUGGUGGCCUCACGGCAUCCUCUGCCUCUGUGGUUAUGUAGUGCCUUCCUUUCUGUUCUGUGUUUUCUCUAUAGUCUCUCUUAAAUCCAUUUCUGCCUUUCUACUUCAUUAGAUUUACGGUCCUGUGGGUUAGGUGGGGAUGCUCUUAUCCAUUGCUCCUCAAAGAUACCUGUGAAGACGUUUUUCCAAAUAAGGCUACCAGAGAUGGAUGGGCUCAUAGACAUAUUUUUUCAGCAACUUCCCUCCCCCAAUCCUGAUACAUUGAUUAUAUGCAUUUAAUGAUAUGUCUUCCUUUUGUACUGAGAAAGUAAGUUUCUGUCUGAAAAAUGGGCAAAUGGGUUGGGAAUUUUGAGCUAGAAGGUAGAGGGAUAUUAAAGAAUUUCUGGCUGGUGCUAAGUGGGUGUUAGAAGCUGCAGACAGAGUGAACAGGUUGGUAAGAAGUGAAAGAGGAUCUUUCCAAAAGGCCAUCACCAAGAAAGCCUCUGUGGAGAACCAGAAGAAUUCACGCACAAGUUCCACUAAAUUGUUGUCAGAUUAAACAACUAAAGUAAAUGAAGGUAUUGUUCAGUUUUGUAUGAUUGACAAGGUUAAAAGCUGACUAUUUUAUUUCUUGUGUAAUUAGACUAAAAGGAGCUGAGACGAAAGGAUGGACUAUCUAGAGACUGCCAUACCCGGGGAUCCAUCCCAUAAUCAGCCUCCAAACGCUGACACCAUUGCAUACAACCAGCAAGAUUUUGCUGAAAGGACCCUGAUAUAGCUGUCUCUUGUGAGGCAAACACAGAAGUGGAUGCUCACAGUCAGCUAUUGGAUGGAACACAGGGUCCCCAAUGGAGGAGCUAGAGAAAGUACCCAAGGAGCUGAAGGGGUCUGCAACCCUAUAGGUGGAACAACAAUAUGAACUAACCAGUGCUCCCCGAGCUCGUGUCUCUAGCUGCAUAUGUAGCAGAAGAUGGCCUAGUCGGCCAUCAUUGGGAAGAGAGGCCCCUUGGUCUUGCAAUCUUUAUAUGCCUCAGUACAGGGGAACACCAGGGC